rnacentral:rRNA from 1 species
UUGAACGCUGGCGGCAUGCUUUACACAUGCAAGUCGAACGGUAACAGGCCGCAAGGUGCUGACGAGUGGCGAACGGGUGAGUAAUGCAUCGGAACGUGCCCAGUCGUGGGGGAUAACUACUCGAAAGAGUAGCUAAUACCGCAUACGAUCUAUGGAUGAAAGCGGGGGACCGUAAGGCCUCGCGCGAUUGGAGCGGCCGAUGUCAGAUUAGGUAGUUGGUGGGGUAAAGGCUCACCAAGCCAACGAUCUGUAGCUGGUCUGAGAGGACGACCAGCCACACUGGGACUGAGACACGGCCCCGACUCCUACGGGAGGCAGCAGUGGGGAAUUUUGGACAAUGGGCGCAAGCCUGAUCCAGCAAUGCCGCGUGCAGGAAGAAGGCCUUCGGGUUGUAAACUGCUUUUGUACGGAACGAAACGGCUCUGGUUAAUACCCGGGGCUAAUGACGGUACCGUAAGAAUAAGCACCGGCUAACUACGUG